UACGUAGGUGGCGAGCGUUGUCCGGAAUUAUUGGGCGUAAAGCGCGCGCAGGCGGGAAAGUAAGUCUACUCUAAAAGUGCGGGGCUCAACCCCGUGAAGGGGUGGAAACUGCUAUUCUUGAGUACCGGAGAGGAAAGUGGAAUUCCCAGUGUAGCGGUGAAAUGCGUAGAUAUUGGGAGGAACACCAGUGGCGAAGGCGACUUUCUGGACGGUGUCUGACGCUGAGGCGCGAAAGCCAGGGGAGCGAACGGG
rnacentral:rRNA from 1 species